UACGUAGGGUGCAAGCGUUAAUCGGAAUUACUGGGCGUAAAGCGUGCGCAGGCGGCUUUGCAAGACAGAUGUGAAAUCCCCGGGCUUAACCUGGGAACUGCAUUUGUGACUGCAUGGCUAGAGUGCGGCAGAGGGGGAUGGAAUUCCGCGUGUAGCAGUGAAAUGCGUAGAUAUGCGGAGGAACACCGAUGGCGAAGGCAAUCCCCUGGGCCUGCACUGACGCUGAGGUGCGAAAGCGUGGGGAGCAAACAGG
rnacentral:rRNA from 1 species